rnacentral:rRNA from 1 species
AUUGAACGCUGGCGGCAGGCCUAACACAUGCAAGUCGAACGGUAACAGGAAGCAGCUUGCUGCUUCGCUGACGAGUGGCGGACGGGUGAGUAAUGUCUGGGAAACUGCCUGAUGGAGGGGGAUAACUACUGGAAACGGUAGCUAAUACCGCAUAACGUCGCAAGACCAAAGAGGGGGACCUUCGGGCCUCUUGCCAUCGGAUGUGCCCAGAUGGGAUUAGCUUGUUGGUGGGGUAACGGCUCACCAAGGCGACGAUCCCUAGCUGGUCUGAGAGGAUGACCAGCCACACUGGAACUGAGACACGGUCCAGACUCCUACGGGAGGCAGCAGUGGGGAAUAUUGCACAAUGGGCGCAAGCCUGAUGCAGCCAUGCCGCGUGUAUGAAGAAGGCCUUCGGGUUGUAAAGUACUUUCAGCGGGGAGGAAGGGAGUAAAGUUAAUACCUUUGCUCAUUGACGUUACCCGCAGAAGAAGCACCGGCUAACUCCGUGCCAGCCGCCGCGGUAA